CCACAUUCACAGGGGUGCUCCGUAUCGCCGGGGCUGAGAUUGAAGACGCCAUGUCUUCUGACCCUUUAGCUGAUCUGGGUAAUGCCAGCGGAGCGAGGUAAAAUGUUUUCCGGU
rnacentral:ncRNA from 1 species